GCUCGCAUGGUCUAGUGGUAUGACGUCUCCUUCACACGGAUAAGGUCCUCAGUUCGAUCCUGAGUGCGAGCA